ACAGUUCUGAAGAUUGACAUUUUGGGACUCAGAACACAGGUGGUAAAAUAAAGAUACCAUCAAGAACUGGACUCUAUUUAAAGUCUUCCAUCACUAAUUCAAAGUUCAGACUCACAGUCUACAUGCUCUGAGAAACUAGAAGCCAAGGAAUUAACCUGAAGUUCACCCAGAAGACCUGUCUGAAAUGUGGUGGUUUCAGCAAGGCCUUAGCUUCCUUCCGUCGGCCCUUGUAAUUUGGACAUUUGCUACCUUUAUAUUCUCAUAUAUCACUGCAAUAACACUCCACCAUGUUGACCCUGCAUUGCCUUACAUCAGCGACACUGGGACAAUGCCUCCUGAAAGGUGCCUCUUUGGAGUAAUGCUGAAUAUCGCUGCCGUUUUAGGCAUUGCUACUAUCUAUGUUCGUUACAAGCAAGUUCAUGCACUGAACCCUGAAGAGAACCUUAUCAUCAAAUUAAACAAGGCUGGCCUUGUACUUGGGAUACUGAGUUGUUUAGGACUUUCUCUUGUGGCAAAUUUCCAGGUUUGUCUUUUAACCCAGUGUGAGUAUUGGUCUGACAUGUUUGGAUAUCUGUAGUAAACGGAAAUCUGAGGUCCUC
rnacentral:lncRNA from 1 species